AUUGAACGCUGGCGGCAGGCUUAACACAUGCAAGUCGAGCGAGCGGCGGACGGGUGAGUAAUGUCUGGGAAACUGCCUGAUGGAGGGGGAUAACUACUGGAAACGGUAGCUAAUACCGCAUACCAUCAGAUGUGCCCAGAUGGGAGUAGCUAGUAGGUGGGGUAAUGGCUCACCUAGGCGACGAGCCCUAGGUGGUCGGAGAGGAUGACCAUCCACACUGGAACUGAGACACGGUCCAUACCCCUACGGGAGGCAGCAGUGGUGAAUAUUGCACAAUGGGCGCAAGCCUGACACAGCCAUGCCGCGUGUGUGAAGAAUGCCGUCGGGUUGUAAAGCACUUUCAGCGAGGAGGCGUUACUCGCAGAAGAAGCACCGGCUAACUCCGUGCCAGCAGCCGCGGUAAUUC
rnacentral:rRNA from 1 species